CCUACGUGCAAAAACGAGGUCACAGUGCUAGUGGACUUAUUAAAAAGCGGAUUUUAUACUUAUAUUUAAGCGGCGUAAUGGAUCAAUUGGUAAAAACGCUGAAGCAGCGGAUGUGCCGACCAAAGGGAUUUCAUCAUGUUGUUUCUUGUGAUAUUUUAACUCAAAAAGAGACGAAAGUGAGUGGAUCUCAUUCAUUUCCUCCCUGUUUGAUGGACUUGAGAGAGGAACACUUUUCAAAGAUAGUACACUUGACCGACUGCGCAGGCUGCUGAGGAGGGUGUGGAGGGUCCUGUGCCGCCGUGAACCCUAUUACUAUGAAAUAAGGCUUUCAGUGGAGGAAACAUCACCAAGCUCUGUUCAACCAUGGUAAGAGGACAAUGGAGAAGAUGAUGGAAUGUAGUUCAGUUCAUUGAGUCAUUUCAGAUGACUAAUUUCUACAAUUUGGUGACAAAUGAAACGGCAGAAUACUUGGGCUGAGAAAUACAACAUGAAAUUAUGAAAGUUUAAGACAUUGAAGAUGAAUCUGUCUGCUUUCAAACCAUCUCUGCCUUACAGAAGCCCCGUGUCCACCGGGUUGGUUUUUCCUGUGGCCAGUGUAUGUUUUCAAUUGUUUCCAAUGGAAGCACUUCCCUUUAAAAAACGCCAGCUCUUGUCUUCCCUUGAGCUGGUGCUUUGCGUUUUUAUCUGUAUGCAGAGAGUUGAAAAGUGUUCAACUUAGGAAAGAACACUCAGCUCGUCAAUGUCACUUCACCUAGCCGUUCAAUUACAGUGGUGGAGUGGCGGGACAAAUACCACAUCAACCAACUGAACAAUUGUACAAUGACCGAUAAACAAAACAGAGGUAUUACAGCAACCGAAAUACUUCAUAGUGAACCGGCGGUUUUGAGCUGCGUUUCAACGCUUUGGUGGACUCCUGCCUUCUGCCAUUUAUGGAUGCGUACGGGUUCAUGAACUGAUGGCGGUGUCUUCAUGUUUGGAAAAACUACUUGGACCAUCUGACCUUCAAUCUUCGGCCAAGAUACACACACAACUUCCAUCUGUGUCUCCAUGCGGACGUGCAGAACUCUUGCAAGCCUAGAGUUUGAUCCUGUGUGUCUAAAACAGACCUGAGGAGGAUUAUGCCCAUGCACUGCUAUAUUAUGAGCACUCACACUGACUGUGACUUAAAGCAAUGAAGUCAUUGAAUUUAGGAUAAAUGAGUGAUAGUGUCGCAGUUAUGGGCACGUCUAGUGACUGAACAAAUUUGAGUAAAACUUGAUGCAAAUAAGCUUUGAUGCAGUGGCUCUGAUUGGCUGUUUUACAUAGCCAAAAAGUGCACUACAAGAAAAACAGAAAAUGAAAAUGAACAGAAACUACUGCUACCUGCUGUUACAUAAAUUUAUCUCACACAGGCAAAGAACAAAUAUGCCACAUGUCAGUCCGUUUGGUGUGCCAGGGCAACUUUGGACCCAGACGCAGCCAGCACGCAGGCAAUGUAAGUUUGGUUGAGUUCGGUUUGGUGUGUUCCUACUGUAAAGCUGCGGUCACACUAGACUUUGAGCAUGCAAGUAUUUGUCGGACUUUGUCAGGUUCAUCGAUAUGAUCUUUGGCUUCGUUCAUUUGUGCUUUUCGGUAGAGAGAAAGGUCAUGCAGGCUUUGAUAUAGCGUUUUUAACUGGUCACAACCAAAGAUUGUCAAAAAUAUGGACGUCGUGUCCGUAAAGUCACCCAUAGGUUUGUAAAGAGCUUCUUUAAAGCCAAUAGUUGGUGGAGCUCGUUACAGCGGAUCACUCGCAAAACUGAGGUGAAACUGAGGUGGCUGUUUGCUGAAACCACGCCCGCCUAGCUCAACAGUAGGGAUUGGAAGUUCGGAUCAUUUUUAUGAUUCUGGUCUUUAAAUCUCGUUCAUCAAAAUGAACGAAUCUUUUUUUUAGUCAUUUCGUUCAUUUGAAUAUGAUUACGUGUUAUUUAACAAACUCCCCCAGAACGACCACUUAUGCAAACAAUUUUGACAUUUCUAACAAGUAAGGAGAAAUAAAAAUGCUUAUUUUAUUAUUUCUUGACAGGCACAUAAGCUCUGCAACCUGCACAAGAGACUGAAACCAUUAGCUUAACUCAGUGUUUCUCAAACUUUUUCAGCCCAAGGACCACUUUAUCUUCCAUUUUUUUUCUGAGGACCACCUAACAGAAUCCCACUCUAACACUCCCCCAAAAAACCACAAAAUAGGAAGGAUAAGCUAAAUUUAAGUUUAAUAUGCAACUGUUUCAAGUCAAAAACGAUGUUCAGAAAUUAUUAUAUGAAUUUUUUUUUUCCGAAAAAGUCAAUGUGA